rnacentral:rRNA from 1 species
ACUCCUGCGGGAGGCAGCAGUGGGGAAUUUUGGACAAUGGGGGCAACCCUGAUCCAGCAAUGCCGCGUGAGUGAAGAAGGCCUUCGGGUUGUAAAGCUCUUUUGUCAGGGAAGAAACGGUAGUAGCGAAUAACUAUUACUAAUGACGGUACCUGAAGAAUAAGCACCGGCUAACUACGUGCCAGCAGCCGCGGUAAUACGUAGGGUGCAAGCGUUAAUCGGAAUUACUGGGCGUAAAGCGUGCGCAGGCGGUUGUGUAAGUCAGAUGUGAAAUCCCCGGGCUCAACCUGGGAAUUGCAUUUGAGACUGCACGGCUAGAGUGUGUUAGAGAGGGGUAGAAUUCCACGUGUAGCAGUGAAAUGCGUAGAUAUGUGGAGGAAUACCGAUGGCGAAGGCAGCCCCCUGGGAUAACACUGACGCUCAUGCACGAAAGCGUGGGGAGCAAACAGGAUUAGAUACCCCAGUAGUCCC